GAUGAAGAACGUAGCGAAAUGCGAAAAGUAAUGUGAAUUGCAGAAUUCAGUGAAUCAUCGAAUCUUUGAACGCACAUUGCGCCCGCCAGUAUUCUGGCGGGCAUGCCUGUCUGAGCGUCAUUUCAACCCUCACGCCCCUAGGGCGUGGUGUUGGGGAUCGGCCAGCGCCCUCGCGGGCGAGGCCGUCCCCUAAAUCUAGUGGCGGACCCGUCGUGGCCUCCCCUGCGAAGUAGUGAUAUUCCGCAUAGGAGAGCGACGAGCCCCUGCCGUUAAACCCCCAACUUUCUCAGGUUGACCUCGGAUCAGGUAGGGAUACCCGCUGAACUUAAGCAUAUCAAUAAGCGGAGGA
rnacentral:misc_RNA from 1 species